CUGUCGUCAGAAAAAAAGGAUAAGGCAAAUAGUUUUUACAGCCGCCCGACAUUUAAAAUGUUCAAACACAACUCCAUAUUACAUCUGUGUACAGUAGAAGGUCUGAUAUAUAUGUAAAUACAUUUUGUGCCAUUGGAUUGUUAUUAUGUUCUGAUUUUCUGUGCUGCUGAUUAGUUAUUUACUUUCGUGAGAAAUGGAUUAAAUAUAUGAUAUUUACUUUCGUAUGAAGUCUAUUUAAUAUUCAUAAUUGUGUGUAGUCAAAUUAAAAUUUACAUUCAGGAGCUAUCAUUCUUGUUCGACAUCCUUUUCUCAUGUGCCAUCAACGUGAUAUUUAAGUAUAGCGCCGGCUUAAUACUGUUUGUACUUUUUUGUGGAUAUGGCAGCUGUGUUGUCCUCAAUUAUAUCUAAUUUGUAUGGUGUCGAAAUUUAUGCAGUGUUUUACAUUUUCUGCUGUCAAUCAAAUUCUUUCUAUGUGCAAUCACGUGAUAUCUAAUUGAAAUCAUUUGAAAAAAGAUGAAAAGGAUACAAUUUUCCCCGUGAAAGUUGUGCAUGUACAGUACCGACCAGACCCAACCUGACACAAAGCAGUCCCAGAGAAGAUACAUAAAACAUCCAGUGAUGUCCGUUCAUUCGAAAUUUUUUUUCCCACCUCCGAUUGAAAGAUGUACCGCGAGAUUCGAUCGAUGAAAUACAUGUAGGUUAUUCUAUGAAACACAUGGAGGACGGAACAACAUUCAAGAUCAAAUGUCCACUAAACAAUACAAAACAGAAGCAGUUGAGUCAACACGGACCACCAAAACAUCAGAGGUGGGAUCAGGUGCCACUGGUGGAGUGAACAUCCUCUGCUGACCGGUCACACUCACCGUUUGCUCUUUGUCAUGAUCGGGAUAAAUGGGGAAAAUCCUUUUUGGGGGUUUAGUCCCUUUUAAUUAGCCAUCCCACAUUCAAUUUGCUUUUGACGCAUUAUGGUUAUAAAUUUGCUAGUACUGGACAAUUAAUUAAUAAGAUAUAGUUCAAAUACAACAAAAGUUGCAACGUCAAUAUGCUCUUAUCUCAUCAAUAUAUUUCAUUUCCGUAGUUUUUUUUUCUAAAUUU